UACGUAGGGUGCAAGCGUUGUCCGGAAUUAUUGGGCGUAAAGAGCUCGUAGGCGGUUUGUUGCGUCGGCUGUGAAAUCCCGAGGCUCAACCUCGGGUCUGCAGUCGAUACGAGCAAACUAGAGUGUUGCAGGGGAGACUGGAAUUCCUGGUGUAGCGGUGAAAUGCGCAGAUAUCAGGAGGAACACCGGUGGCGAAGGCGGUUCUCUGGGCCUGUACUGACGCUGAGGAACGAAAGCGUGGGGAGCGAACAGG
rnacentral:rRNA from 1 species